rnacentral:rRNA from 1 species
AUUGAACGCUGGCGGCAGGCCUAACACAUGCAAGUCGAGCGGAUGAAGGGAGCUUGCUCCUGGAUUCAGCGGCGGACGGGUGAGUAAUGCCUAGGAAUCUGCCUGGUAGUGGGGGAUAACGUCCGGAAACGGGCGCUAAUACCGCAUACGCCCUGAGGGAGAAAGUGGGGGAUCUUCGGACCUCACGCUAUCAGAUGAGCCUAGGUCGGAUUAGCUAGUUGGUGGGGUAAAGGCCUACCAAGGCGACGAUCCGUAACUGGUCUGAGAGGAUGACCAGUCACACUGGAACUGAGACACGGUCCAGACUCCUACGGGAGGCAGCAGUGGGGAAUAUUGGACAAUGGGCGAAAGCCUGAUCCAGCCAUGCCGCGUGUGUGAAGAAGGUCUUCGGAUUGUAAAGCACUUUAAGUUGGGAGGAAGGGCAGUAAGUUAAUACCUUGCUGUUUUGACGUUACCAACAGAAUAAGCACCGGCUAACUUCGUG